CAGCUUUGCUUUAAUUUUUUAUUUAUUUAUUUUUGGGUGCAAUAUAUCUUUCCUUAUUGAACAGUGCUGUUACAAACCUCUACACCUGAUCCUGUCUUUCUAGACAGCAGCAAGCUUCGCCACCGCCUUCAAAGGAAGCUGGCAGAAGACAAAAAGCUCCUUCAGGAGAUAGAGAAAUACAAAGGUCUUGUACUAGACUCUGCCACUAACAUUGAUGUAGCUGUGGUGGAGCAUUCCCUGACUGGAGAGAGCACUCUCUAAUAUGGCCAUGGGAGGUUCAUGGCAGUGGCAAACAUUUCAAUCAAGAAACAACUGCAUGACCAAGUGCUGUUGACAGUGCGCUUGCAAGAGGAAAAAAGCAUUUUGGUGUUGGAGAUGGCACAACACUGCACAUGGUUGCAGAGCCUGCAGUGGUUCUGAAGAACAAGAUAGAUGAGGAGGACAAGGGAAAUGAGGGACUUUGUUGUCUCUUAAGAAGAAGACUGUCAGAGGUGUCAGAAAGGUUGCAGGUGGUUCUCCAACAGUACAAGACUGCUUUAGGCCUCAGUAGUUCAGACACCAGUGAGGAUGAAGAAAACACAAUUUAGAUGGAAGCUGCACAAAGGACUGUAUUGAAGGAAAUGGACUUGGCUAGUAUUUGUGUAUUUUUAGUAUGUUGAUAGAUUUACCACAUUAAAGUCUGUAUGCAUUCUAUAUUGUUGAAAAUUAAACCUGUCUGUAGUUGCCAACCAAUUCAGAAAGCACAUGAAUGCUCCUUGAAGAUGCACAAACCUCUUAGUAUAGGUGUACCAAUCUCUGCCAAAAGUUUUAACUUUGCACAUAUAUUACCAGAUGUAAUAUCAUGACAUGAUAUUUGGGUAGUGUAUUCAUACUCCUUUAAGACAGACCCCCCUUUGAUUGCGGUGACCCUGUGACCUUUCCUCUUGUGUAAAACUCAAGGAUAAAGUUUUGACUUGUAUACAACAAAUGUUAGGAACAGAUUCCUAAGUAAUUUGAGCACUCUCAAGCUUCCCAGGCAUUGAAUCCUGUCAGUUUUGUUGACCUCAUGACAUUCCCUGUAGCACAACCCUCAGACCAGAAUGUAAAGUUUGAUAUUGUCCAUUGAGCAGAUUUGCAAUGAAAUCUGGUAAGCAAAUUCAUGAAGAUGACUUUGGUGACCUCAUGAUGUUUCCUCUAUCACCACAUUUAGGUCGAAAUGUAAAAGCUUAUUCUUCAUUACUUGCAUUUUCCCCACAUUCGCUUAUUCUGCAGUGCAGCAGCAGAGGGUCUGUGCCUUUUUUGUCCGGAAGGGUAUUAUAGGAUAUAGAGGUAUGGUGAUUAUAACUGUUGUGUAACUUUAUAUUACUGCACCAUAGAAGAUAAACAUCAUAACAAACUCUUUCUUAAAGAUGGUUAUUUCAUUUAAAAUUGGUCUGUCACUGUCAGUUUUACAGGGUUUCGGUGGGUCCUUAAAAAGUUAAACCAGUUAUAUCGAAUUUAUGGCCAUAUAAAUGUCUUAAAUGGUAUAAGACAGUCCUAAUUUUGUUUUUUUUAAUGAUUUUUCUCGUCUCUUUUCUUAAAAGUAGUUGAAAUGUGAAGUUUAACAUU
ensembl:lncRNA